AUGUAUUCACAAAAAACUACAAGGGAGAAACUUAUCACGAAUCCACUGAUAGUUGCUGCUUCUGUUAUCGUUGUUGGGAUGGCCGUCGGGCUUACUUCUGUUGGACCUGGAGUUGGUCAAGGCACAACUACAGGGCAAGCUAUAGAAGGGAUUGUGAGACAACCGGAAGCAGAGGACAAAAUACGGGGUACUUUAUUACUUAGUCUGGCUUUUAUGGAAGCUUUAACUAUUUAUGGGCUGGUUGUAGCAUUAGCUCUUUUAUUUGCCAAUCCUUUUGUUUAA